rnacentral:misc_RNA from 1 species
GAUGAAGAACGCAGCGAAAUGCGAUAAGUAAUGUGAAUUGCAGAAUUCAGUGAAUCAUCGAAUCUUUGAACGCACAUUGCGCCCACCAGCAUUCUGGCGGGCAUGCCUGUUCGAGCGUCAUUUCAACCCUCGACAUCCCCUUGGGGAAGUCGGCGUUGGGGACCGGCAGCACACCGCCGGCCCCGAAAUUGAGUGGCGGCCCGUCCGCGGCGACCUCUGCGUAGUAAUCCAACCUCGCACCGGAACCCCGACGUGGCCACGCCGUAAAACACCCAACUUUCUGAACGUUGACCUCGGAUCAGGUAGGAAUACCCGCUGAACUUAAGCAUAUCAAUAAGCGGAGGA